AUUGAACGCUGGCGGCAGGCCUAACACAUGCAAGUCGAGCGGGGACUUCGGUCCUAGCGGCGAACGGGUGAGUAAUGCUUGGGAAUCUGCCCAGUAGUGGGGGAUAACGUCCCGAAAGGGACGCUAAUACCGCAUACGUCCUACGGGAGAAAGAGGGGGAUCUUCGGACCUCUCGCUAUUGGAUGAGCCCACGUCGGAUUAGCUAGUUGGUAGGGUAAUGGCCUACCAAGGCGACGAUCCGUAGCUGGUCUGAGAGGAUGAUCAGCCACACUGGAACUGAGACACGGUCCAGACUCCUACGGGAGGCAGCAGUGGGGAAUAUUGGACAAUGGGCGAAAGCCUGAUCCAGCCAUGCCGCGUGUGUGAAGAAGGCCUUCGGGUUGUAAAGCACUUUAAGCGGGGAGGAAGGUUCGCGGCCUAAUACGUCGCGGAAUUGACGUUACCCGCAGAAUAAGCACCGGCUAACUCUGUG
rnacentral:rRNA from 1 species